GACUGUCCUUUUUCCAUUGGAUAUUCUUUCUUGCUUUUGGGAAAUUAGUUGACCAUAGAGUUGAGGGUCUAUUUCUGGGCUCUCUAUUCUAUUCCAUUGAUCUAUGUGUUUGUUUUUGUGCCAGU